GACGAACGCUGGCGGCGUGCCUAAUACAUGCAAGUUGAGCGCUGAAGGUUGGUACUUGUACCAACUGGAUGAGCAGCGAACGGGUGAGUAACGCGUGGGGAAUCUGCCUUUGAGCGGGGGACAACAUUUGGAAACGAAUGCUAAUACCGCAUAAAAACUUUAAACACAAGUUUUAAGUUUGAAAGAUGCAAUUGCAUCACUCAAAGAUGAUCCCGCGUUGUAUUAGCUAGUUGGUGAGGUAAAGGCUCACCAAGGCGAUGAUACAUAGCCGACCUGAGAGGGUGAUCGGCCACAUUGGGACUGAGACACGGCCCAAACUCCUACGGGAGGCAGCAGUAGGGAAUCUUCGGCAAUGGACGAAAGUCUGACCGAGCAACGCCGCGUGAGUGAAGAAGGUUUUCGGAUCGUAAAACUCUGUUGGUAGAGAAGAACGUUGGUGAGAGUGGAAAGCUCAUCAAAGG
rnacentral:rRNA from 1 species